ensembl:misc_RNA Metazoa_SRP Metazoan signal recognition particle RNA
GCCGGGCAUGGUGGCGCAUGCCUGUAAUCCCAGCUACUCAGGAGGCUGAGGCAGGAGACCUGCUUGAACCUGGGAGGCAGAGGUUACAGUGAGCCAAGAUCGCGCCACUGCACUCUAGCCUAGGCAACAGAGUGAGACUCUGCCUCAA